rnacentral:lncRNA from 1 species
UUGAGGUUUUCCAGGUGCCCACCUUCUGAGUUUUUUUUUUAAACUCCAAAAAAAUGAAACAACAUAAAGCUGACUUUUAUUACUAUCCUCUUUUUGAUGACCUAUGUUUUAAAUCUGGUUUAUAUUGGCCUUGGUGAGCUAUGUGGCCUUUUAUUGUGUUAUAUUGCUUUACUUUUACAUGGAUUGUUUUUGAAUUUAUUGGAUUGUUUGUAUUUAUGUCUAGGCUGUUAAAUGUCCAGAGAGUGCACAUUGUAAUAUUAGGUGGUAUAUAAGAUGAAUGAAUGAAUGAAUGAAUGAAUGAAUGAAUGAAUGAAUGAAUGAAUGAAUGAAUGAAUGGACUGCUGGAGAGCCCAGUGGUUUAGGUCUCUGGUUGCAGAGCCGAAGGUUGGGAGUUCGAUUCCCCUCCCCCGGGCCUCCUUGAGAGGGGCUGGACUGGAUGACCCACAGGGUCCCUUCUAGCUCUGUAUAUCUAAGAUUCCAAUGAAUGCAUGAAUAUUAUGAUAGCAGAGCAAUGAAUUUAGGUCCAAAUUCGAAUCCUGUCUUAGACCUGAAGCUUCUCAGGUCAUCUUGGAAUGGUUUCCUUCCGUCAGUCUAACCAUCCUCCUCAGACUGUUGUAUAGAUCAAGUGGAAAGACAAUGGCCACCUACUUCAGCUGCCUCCUUGAAGAAACGAACAAACACAACCAAAUUGAAAGCCAGCUUGUGAUUUUAGGAAAAAAAUGUCUAAGUCUCACCUAUACAUUGAGCAAAGCUGACUGGGAUCAAGGCUAUUGUUAACUCUUCAGCAAAAGGAGAAGAGAAAUGGAUAGGCUGCAUGUUCAAAAGCUCUGCUGUGAAAACUAGGAUUAUCCUUCCUGUUGAACUCUAACUACGAAUCAAGGUAUUGGCUUAAAGAUAGCCUGAAGAGCUAGCUUUCUAUAUGCAGAGAAUUUAUUUCUAGCAGAUCAGUCAAACCGAGAGGAUGCUCAAAUCAAGACCGUCUACUAAAGCCUUUGAG